rnacentral:rRNA from 2 species
CGGACGGGUGAGUAACACGUGGGCAACCUGCCUGUAAGACUGGGAUAACUUCGGGAAACCGGAGCUAAUACCGGAUAAUUUCUUCCCUCGCAUGAGGGAAGGUUGAAAGUCGGUUUCGGCUGACACUUACAGAUGGGCCCGCGGCGCAUUAGCUAGUUGGUGAGGUAACGGCUCACCAAGGCGACGAUGCGUAGCCGACCUGAGAGGGUGAUCGGCCACACUGGGACUGAGACACGGCCCAGACUCCUACGGGAGGCAGCAGUAGGGAAUCUUCCACAAUGGACGAAAGUCUGAUGGAGCAACGCCGCGUGAGCGAUGAAGGCCUUCGGGUCGUAAAGCUCUGUUGUCAGGGAAGAACAAGUAUCGGAGUAACUGCCGGUACCUUGACGGUACCUGACCAGAAAGCCACGGCUAACUACGUGCCAGCAGCCGCGGUAAUACGUAGGUGGCAAGCGUUGUCCGGAAUUAUUGGGCGUAAAGCGCGCGCAGGCGGUCCUUUAAGUCUGAUGUGAAAGCCCACGGCUCAACCGUGGAGGGUCAUUGGAAACUGGGGGACUUGAGUGCAGAAGAGGAAAGCGGAAUUCCACGUGUAGCGGUGAAAUGCGUAGAGAUGUGGAGGAACACCAGUGGCGAAGGCGGUUUCUUGGUCUGUAACUGACGCUGAGGCGCGAAAGCGUGGGGGAGCAAACAGAUUUAGAUACCCUGGUAGUCCACGCCGUAAACGAUGAGUGCUAAGUGGUAAGGGUUUUCCGCCCUUUAGUGCUGCAGCUAACGCAUUUAACACUCCGCCUGGGGGA